ensembl:lncRNA
UUGAGCGGCUCCGGCCUCCUUUUACCACCAACAUUACGCGUCUGGAGAGGCACACAGACUGAUGGCCACCGAUAGACGGACAGAGGACACGCAUGUGGUGGGCGGGUGACACAUACAUAGUGUAAGCAGAGAGGUAGAGGGAGAGGCAAGCUUGUUACGCUGUAAUUAAGUCAGACGCUUGGAGAUCUCAUCAGUCAAACAGGCAGACAGACAUUAAGCCCCAUCUCAUUGAAAGGAACUAUUUACGUCUGACCUUUGUAAUGGAGCCGGUCCACAGUGGCAGACCUCAGAUCUGGGCAAUAUUCCAAUGCCAACAUUUCAGUGAACACACUUUACUGUCGCUCCACGCGAAUAACUGUUCCGAUCAACAGGUUGCAGGAAUUGGCCGUGAAGGGACAGUGAAGUGCCUCAAUGCGGAACCGGUGUUUCAACACACACACAAAAAAAAGAGAAAAGUCAAAGAAAGGCGAAAAACAGCUCCUUUUUCCUCAGUGUCCCACUUUUCAGUUGAACUUCCCAGUGGGGGCCCCCCCCCCCCCCUCUCUCCUCCCCCCCGCCCUCCCUCUCCCCCUCCAUCUCUGUUUUCGUCUGCGUCUGCCGGUCCUCGCCUCGACUCGCCGGUCCGCUUCUCCCUCAGCAGACAGCAGUGUGUGUGAACGCGAGUGUGUCUGGUAGCCAGACAGGGUGAGAGUAAGAGAGGAGGCGAGACCAACCCAGAGCAGGGGAUUCCUUCAUGACGAUGUCAGAGGACAGGGGCCCUCCCCUCGCCUCUCCUCCUCUCCUCCCCUCCUCCCCUCGUCUCUCCUCCUCUCCUCCCUCUCCUCCCCUUUGCGGGCCGAGGCUGAUGUGAGAACACAGGAAAGGGGGCAGGGAGAUAAUUGGCUGCACAGCUGCUAAUAAAUGAGCAAAGGUUGUUUGAGUAGCAGGGUUCAGUGUUUCAGUGGAAAAACCUACUGGGAAAGUUUGUAACGCUGUGGUUUUAAUCUGUUCUUCUACAUGUUUCCAGUCAGUUUGUUUAUCGGAAUGAAGUUAUUUAUCCCGAAAGAAUAUUUGUCUGGAUGUCAGUACAUGCUCUCAAUACUAUUUUGAAAGCUGUUUCUGAUCAUACCCAGAAACAUGUAGCUCUGAGAUAAUAACAUGAGAUAAUGACUUAAUUAAUGAAUUCAUUUGAUUUGAUGGCAAAGUUAACACAAUUAAAAGGGUUUCUGAUAAAGUCGGAACCUGACACGUUAUGAACGUUGAUGAUGAAGUUGGUCUGUCUUGGUUUUGUUUCAUUUUUGGGUGAAACUUUAAGAUGAGAUGACCUUAAACUAGAGCAGGAGAGCAGGGUCACAUUAUUUUGACAUAUUGACGUCACAAGAGACAGAACAGAAUGUCUUUCUCCCUACAUUUUAUUGCCAAAAAGAUACGUACAUCAAUACUAAGUGUUAUUUCAUUCACUUGUUAAGCAAAUGCAAAAUGCAAAAGCAAUGCAAAUCGGGUGCGUUUCCAUCAACUGGUUUAAGAGGAAUGAAACCAGCUACAUCCGACUACACAGCUGCAGGCAGGAGAUGGGGAGGACACAAUAAAAGUCAACCUGAGCCGUCACGUUUGUUCAUUCUUACAGAAAUCUUCUAUUAGGUUUCGGUAAAAAGGAGGUUUAGGGAAAGAUCUCUGUUACAAUAAACCCCUUUGGUUUGAAUCCCUCCACAUGUUAAACACCAG